UUGGACUUUACCUCUGGCGCUAGGGAUAGGAGAAGCCGUUUUUAUCGCUGUUAUCAUCAUAAUCAUUGUCAUUGUGUUAAAGAGGGGUAAUGCUGCAACACAGUCGACUGAGGACACGAAGUAUAGCAUUGUACAUUCUUCAGCCGAAAAAAAGAUAAGUGAAACUGACUGCAGCAUUUAAACAGAGGUGGUAUUACUGUAAUUGCCGAACAAUGUCAUGUAAAAGAGACUUGUAUAGUUUUCUGCAUUGAAUAUCAUUUAAUGCAUUCAUUGUGCGGCAUUUCAUAUUUUCAUCUUAUUUCUCAUUUCUAAGUCCUGGAUAUUUUAAUGAAUUUAAAAUGAUAAAAGCUAACGUGCAUGCCCAAAAUAGCUUUUCUCUUUAGAAUUUUGACGUGAACAUCAGCAAUGAGUUUGAUCAGUCUUUUUUUAUCAAUAAAAUUCGCAGAAUGACAUUAUUUCAUACCAUCAUUCUGUACCAGUAGAUUGAUGCGGAUUUUGAUAAAUCAAAUAGGGCUUCUCUUACCUUUAUUUUCUUUACUAAUUUCUGCGCUUUCUUUGUAAGUUAAUUAAGACUUCAAGCCCAGGCAGAAAAACAUGAUUAGAACAUAGAAUGGAAUAUUUAUUUGUAAUAACUGUAUCUAAAGAAUAUUGACCAUGUACAUGUGACGAUUACUGAUUUUUAUUUGAAAAUUAAAAUAAGUACACGAACACAACAUUUCAAUUUUGGAAUAAAAAAUCAAUAAAGGACACGUGUAUUUUAUUUUCUGUAGAGUAAAGUAUUUUACUCAGAGCAUUAUUUAAUUUGAUCCCCCUGUAGUUUUUCGUAAGCAGUGGUCGAGUGAUCAAGAACUCUUUUUAAUUUUGUUGGGGGAUUUUUUCCAUGAAUAAAUAAAGAUACAUAACCAUGUGUGCUUCGCCUGGAAAAUGAUGUAAAUUGGAUACCGGUACCUAAUGGGCACUAGUUAAUUGUGUUUCUUCAUUAGCUGACCUGUUUUUAUACUCCUUUGCAGUAGAAUUAAAAAAAAAACAUCUACCCUGUACAUUAAAAGAAAACAUUUACUUGGGCCAUUAAUGAACAUUUAGAUAUAUCAACGAUGUAUUAUAAAUGUAUGCACCAAUUAACAAUAUUUACUUUCAUUUAUAUGUCGAUUCGAUGUACAACUUGUCUAUCAGUAAAACUUGAAAUAAAAGACACCAUAGUGUCUGCCACA